CCUUUGCGCGCCAGGAUAUUUUUUUAAUUUAUUUUUUUUGUCUGUGAGACUGUGAUUUCGCGCGGUUUGUUUUGUGAAAAGUAGUGAACUUGAUUUUCAGGUGGAUUUUUUUAUGAACAUAAAAAUUAGUUAUGCUACUAAUGGGUUUUGGCACCUUUUAGAAAAACAAGGAUAAAGCAAUGGGUUCCGGGGCAUCAGCAGUGGCUGGCGAGGUGCCCGGCACAGAUCUCCGGCUGCCGACCACCGGGCUGAAGUUCACCGCAAACCAGCUCCGAGCCCUCAACUCUUACGUGGACGCGCUCAAUGAGGAUGACCAGAAAGGCCGGAUGACGACUGAGAUGGAAGGUGCAGUGGAGGGAUUGGUCCAGAGGAUCGUGGACGGAGCAGGCCAGAGGGACCCUCGCUUUAGGUGCUGCCAUCUAAUUGCUCU